GAGAAGUAAGUAAGAGCGCACGGGGGAUACCUAGGGUCUCAGAGGCGAAGAAGGACGCGAUAAGCUGCGAUAAGCUUGGGGGAGGGGCACAUACCCGUUAUAUCCCGAGAUUUCCGAAUGGGGCAACCCCGCUGGUUGAUGACCAGUGACUACCUUUUAGUAGGUAGGGCAAACGUUGGGAACUGAAACAUCUCAGUACCAGCAGGAACAGAAAAUAACAAUGAUUUCCCAAGUAGUGGCGAGCGAACGGGAAGGAGCCCAAACCCGGGUGGUUACGGCCACCUGGGGGUUGUAGGACCACGACAUCUGAUUGUUACACGCUAGUCGAAGCGCUUGGGAAAGCGCUCCAUAGAGGGUGAGAGGCCCGUAGACGAAAGACGUGUAGCACGGUAGUGGUAUCCUGAGUAGGGCGGGGCCGGAGAAACCCCGUCUGAAGCUGGCGGCACCAUCCGCCAAGGCUACAUACUCCUGAGACACCGAUAGUGAACUAGUACCGUGAGGGAAAGGUGAAAAGAACCGGGAAUACCGGAGUGAAAAGAACUUGAAACCGUGCGCUUACAAGCAGUUAGAGCCCUUUUGUGGGGUGAUAGCGUGCCUUUUGCAUAAUGAGCCUACGAGUUACUCCUCCCUGGCAAGGUUAAGCGCUUGAAGGCGCGUAGCCGCAGCGAAAGCGAGUCUGAAUAGGGCGCGUAGUCAGGGGGGGUAGACGCGAAACCUAGUGAGCUACCCUUGAGCAGGAUGAAGGAGCGGUAACACGCUGUGGAGGUC
rnacentral:rRNA from 1 species